GACGAACGCUGGCGGCGUGCCUAAUACAUGCAAGUAGGACGCAGUUGCGAACGGGUAAGUAACGCGUCGUUAAAUACCUAUUAGAGGGGGAUAACUAUUGGAAACGAUAGCUAAUACCGCCUACUAUUAGAUGUACCUGCGUUGUAUUAGCUAAUAGGUAGGGUAAUGGCCUACCUAGGCAACGAUACAUAGCCGACCUGGGGGGGUGAUCGGCCAAACUGGGACCUAGAAAAGGCCCAGACUCCUACGGGAGGCAGCAAGAGGGAAUCUUUGGAAAUGGGGGGAACCCUGACCGAGCAACGGCGCGUGAGUGAAGAAGGUUUUCGGAUCGGAAAGCUCUGUUGGUAAGGAAGCGGUACUUAACCAGAAAGCGACGGCUAACUACGUGCCAGCAGCCGCGGUAAUUC
rnacentral:rRNA from 1 species